GAGAGAUUUGGUCCCUUCUCUCCUGUGAGUGAACUACCGCUGCUGGGCGGGGGAGGCAAAAGGCUUGGCGGCCGAGGGCGUGGCCCCUGGGCAAGGACGAGGUGUGGUCACGAUCCCUGUAGCCUGUGGCUUAAACAGCCCCGUCCUAGGACCGGAGUGAUUCAGUCUCAGAAUUGUUCUUUAAUCUUUAAUAUCUCCAUUAAGAAGAGUUUCUGUCAAGUGCUUCAAAAGAACACAAUGUGAAGGAGCAAUACUGAUCCACUGCUGAGACCUCAGAAGCUACCAGAUUAUUGUUAAAAAAUAAACAUGUUUGAAGACGACAGACUGUUACCCAGAGGGGAGGUCCUGAGUCAUCCAAAGUUUCUCCAGCUGGCAAAGAAGUAUGAAAAAACUCCUGCUCAGAUUUGCACCUGCUGGAGCAUCCGAGCAAGCCAGGGAAACAUCCAUGACACCUAAAGAAGAGACGAAAUGCUUGUGUAUUUCAGAAUGGGGUCAUUGCCAACAUCCACAAAAUGUAAAAGAGUAAAGGAAAAUUUUCAGGGGUUAACAGACAAAGCUGGACAGUUCUAAGUUGGAGUCCCUCAAAUGGUUGCAGUCAGUUGACAGCUGAGGCUGGAGUCUUCUGAAAGUUCCUUUACUCACAUGUCUCCCUCCUGGGCUGGGAUGUCUGGAAUUCUGGGGACAGGUGGGGCGUUCCUCUCUCUUCUCUCCAGGUGGCCGCUCUACAAGUCUGGCUUGGGCUUCACACAGCAUGACAGCUUAAGGUGCAAGCAUUCCUGGAGACAAGCAGAGGGCUCCAGGCUAGGGAUCUAGUGCUGGAAGUCAUGCACAUCACUUUCACUAUAUUCUAUUAGACACAGCUGUCACAAACCAGACCGAAUUCAGGAGAGUAGAUACAGAGAAGCAAGAUUUGACGAUAGUGACCCUGGAAAGAAGCUACAACAAUUUAUUUGGGGGAUAUUUAGAAAUAAACACAAAUUUAUAGAGAUAUAAAUAUAUCCCUAUUAAAAAAAUAAGAAUAAUUAUAAUGCAUGUUCAACCAUAAAAUAAUAUACAAAGAUAACACCUUAAUAAUUAAGGCAGGAAAUAAGAUUAACUCCUAGGGGUCUAAUCAAUGACAGAGUUUUUUUAGCACUUUCUCAAGACAUUGAGGACCUCAUGCCUGCACUGACCUUUUAGAUGCUUAAUCAAGCAAAUCAUCCCAAACUAUCUGGCUGCCCCAUAAUUAAGCCAGAACAUCUCUGAACUUCUCACUUAGUUCAAGAACUAAGUUCCAGAAUAUUUUUGGCCAAAAUAUCCUCUAUCUUAUAUACUCAAGACUGCCUCUGUUUCUCUUUCUCCUUUGGUCCUUAAGGUCCACUGCUCCUAACACUUCCAGAAUCACGCUGGCAGAUCUACUACACAGUUCUGAUUUUGUAGUUAAUUAUCAUUUCAACAAGCUUGAAACUUUUUACUACUAAAUGGCCAGGAAAUAUCUUGUUUCCUUUUAUUCCCUUCAAUUAUUUAUUUUUCUUGUAGUUUUCUCCUUUUAUUCCAUUUUGGUAAGACUUCCUAUGUCUUUUAUAAUGUACUCUGCUUCUUUGAAAUGAAAUGUUUAAAGAAGGUUAACAUACAAGUUGUUACUUUAAUUUGAUAAAACAUAUAAUCUCUACCUGAUAAAAAAUAUUUUGAAUGCCUCAGAAACUGCUUUUGCUGUACACACAGGCAGAAUGGAGUGAUAUUUUAAGAUUUCCUGCAACUAGAAAGGUAUGGAAAGUUUGACUGAUUUAUAUUGUGUUCUGACUUCCUGAGGUAGUUUUCCUAAUGCUAUUCCAUUUUACUCAUACUAUGAAACAAAGCUUGUUUUCUUUUUAAAUAAAAAUUCAGUCUAGGACAGUGUGUUUCAGAUUUGUUCUUUAUCUCUUAAGCUUAAUUUCUAUGGAAUUUUAUAGUACUAGCCAUUUUAUUUACAUACAUAUUAUUAACAUACAAGUUGUUACUUUAAUUUGAUAAAACAUAUAAUCUCUACCUGAUAAAAAAUAUUUUGAAUGCCUUGAUGGGGGGAUGAUUCUGGAAGCAUUUGAGAAAAAGUAUUCCCAGUUUAAUUUCCAAAAUUACUUUAAAAAAUAAAAACUUGACUAUUUAA